rnacentral:tRNA from 1 species
GCCAAAGUAGCUCAGUGGGGAGAGUGUUAGACUGAAGAUCUAAAGGUCUCUGGUUCACUCCCAGGCUUUGGCA